CUUUGACCAGUUUCUCUGUUGCUAUGUUCUCCAGUUGAAGUAGCUGCCCUCCUCUCCCAUACCUGGAAUGAGCAGAAAAAGGGCAUAUUCACCAUGAGGGUAAAAAGAUGUGGGCCUUGAAGCAUACAGCUGGGCAUUUUGCUACCUGGCACAUGGAUGACUUGCAGAUGCCCUCAACUUUUUUUGAUUCAAGUAAGGCAUUAAUAACCAGACAGAUGCCGAAUCAAGAAUAUGCAAAGUUCCCUUGUUUACCCGCAUUUUCCUUGGGACCUAAGGAAA